UGCCAGCAGCCGCGGUAAUACGGAGGGUGCAAGCGUUGUUCGGAAUCAUUGGGCGUAAAGCGAGUGUAGGCGGCCGAGCAAGUCGGAUGUGAAAUCCCAGGGCCCAACCCUGGAACUGCAUUCGAUACUGCCCGGCUAGAGUCCCGGAGAGGGUGGCGGAAUUCCCGGUGUAGGGGUGAAAUCCGUAGAUAUCGGGAGGAACACCAGUGGCGAAGGCGGCCACCUGGACGGUGACUGACGCUCAGACUCGAAAGUGUGGGGAGCAAACAGGAUUAGAUA
rnacentral:rRNA from 1 species